rnacentral:rRNA from 1 species
UACGUAGGCAGCAAGCGUUGUUCGGAGUUACUGGGCGUAAAGAGUGCGUAGGUGGUGCCCUAAGUCUGUUGUGAAAAUCUCCCGGCUUAACUGGGAGGGUGCGGUGGAAACUGGGGUGCUUGAGUGUGGGAGAGGUAAGCGGAAUUCCUGGUGUAGCGGUGAAAUGCGUAGAUAUCAGGAGGAACACCGGUGGUGUAGACGGCUUACUGGACCACGACUGACACUGAGGCACGAAAGCGUGGGUAGCAAACAGG